ensembl:miRNA gga-mir-6665 gga-mir-6665
CUCCAAAAAUCGAGAUCUGCAAAGCUGCCUGAAGGAUUUUGAUGCCCUGAAAUGAAGGGAAAGAAAGGGCUGUCUGAGUCCUCCAGGCCGGGUUUUGUUUAUCUCAGUCC